rnacentral:rRNA from 1 species
ACACCCCAAUACAGAGGCGGAUCAUCACGGGGCUACGCCUGUCUGAGGGUCGCAAUCACCUGUCGAUCGGACGCACCC